UACGAAGGGGGCUAGCGUUGUUCGGAAUUACUGGGCGUAAAGCGCACGUAGGCGGAUAUUUAAGUCAGGGGUGAAAUCCCAGAGCUCAACUCUGAAACUGCCUUUGAUACUGGGUAUCUUGAGUAUGGAAGAGGUGAGUGGAAUUCCGAGUGUAGAGGUGAAAUUCGUAGAUAUUCGGAGGAACACCAGUGGCGAAGGCGGCUCACUGGUCCAUUACUGACGC
rnacentral:rRNA from 1 species